UACGUAGGGUGCGAGCGUUAAUCGGAAUUACUGGGCGUAAAGCGUGCGCAGGCGGUUCGUUAAGUCAGAUGUGAAAGCCCCGGGCUCAACCUGGGAACUGCAUUUGAAACUGGCGGGCUUGAGUGUGGCGGAGGGGGGUGGAAUUCCGCGUGUAGCAGUGAAAUGCGUAGAGAUGCGGAGGAACACCGAUGGCGAAGGCAGCCCCCUGGGCCAACACUGACGCUCAGGCACGAAAGCGUGGGGAGCAAACAGG
rnacentral:rRNA from 1 species